UGAAGACUAAGAAGCUGGUAGUAUAGCUGACUCUCUCAAGGACCAAGACCACAGACUUCAUUUCAGUCUUCUUACUGAGUCCGGUAUUUGCACAGGUGAUAUCAGCGUUCGGAGGGAAAAUCUGAGAAGCUAUGUAUGUUCAGUCACUCACAUGGAAUGAAGACAGAAACUCAUGAUUCCCUGAGCUCUGCCUGAAAUGAUGCAGCUCCCAUCAGUUACUGGGUGAAGCCUCUCUGCCCCCUUGCCCGAAGCUUGGGAACUGGGUGCCAGCGCACCGAGUGCAGACAUGGGGGCGCGGUGUGCGGCAAUUGGAGGUCUCCACAGAGACAUCGGCAUUUGGAGGUCUCCACCGAGAUAUCGGGAACGCAGCACCUGUGGUUGUUCAUGAAUGUACUUGGAGUAAACAAUCCUGACAUGAGAUCCUCAAGAGCAUGUUUUGAAGAAAUACAUUGAUUCAAUGUAAACAUCUACUCUGGGCUGGAGGAGAGAUUUCUCAGUGGUUAAGGUUAAGAACAUAUGCAGCUUGUUGCUCCAGAGGAUCCUAGUCUGAUUCCCAUCAUCCAUAUAGGGAAGAGGCCCACCACUGUCAUGAACUCCAGCUCCAAGGGCUUCAGCACUGUCUUCUGGCCUCUGAAGGCCCCUGAACAUACAUGUGACUGUACUCCACCCUACCACACAACUGAAAAUUAACAUUAAAUGUU